rnacentral:rRNA from 1 species
CCUACGGGUGGCAGCAGUGGGGAAUAUUGGACAAUGGGCGAAAGCCUGAUCCAGCCAUCCCGCGUGUGUGAAGAAGGCCUUCGGGUUGUAAAGCACUUUCAGUGGGGAAGAAAGCCUUGGGGCUAAUACCCUCGAGGAAGGACAUCACCCACAGAAGAAGCACCGGCUAACUCCGUGCCAGCAGCCGCGGUAAUACGGAGGGUGCGAGCGUUAAUCGGAAUUACUGGGCGUAAAGCGCGCGUAGGCGGUCUGAUAAGCCGGUUGUGAAAGCCCCGGGCUCAACCUGGGAACGGCAUCCGGAACUGUCAGGCUAGAGUGCAGGAGAGGAAGGUAGAAUUCCCGGUGUAGCGGUGAAAUGCGUAGAGAUCGGGAGGAAUACCAGUGGCGAAGGCGGCCUUCUGGACUGACACUGACGCUGAGGUGCGAAAGCGUGGGUAGCAAACAGGAUUAGAUACCCCAGUAGUC